AUUGAACGCUGGCGGCAGGCCUAACACAUGCGAGUCGAACGGUAACAGGAAACAGCUUGCUGUUUCGCUGACGAGUGGCGGACGGGUGAGUAAUGUCUGGGAAACUGCCUGAUGGAGGGGGAUAACUACUGGAAACGGUAGCUAAUACCGCAUAACGACGCAAGACCAAAGAGGGGGACCUUCGGGCCUCUUGCUAUCGGAUGCGCCCAGAUGGGAUUAGGUAGUAGGUGGGGUAACGGCUCACCUAGGCGACGAUACCUAGCUGGUCUGAGAGGAUGACCAGCCACAGUGGAACUGAGACACGGUCCAGACUCCUACGGGAGGCAGCAGUGGGGAAUAUUGCACAAUGGGCGCAAGCCUGAUGCAGCCAUGCCGCGUGUAUGAAGAAGGCCUUCGGGUUGUAAAGUACUUUCAGCGGGGAGGAAGGGAGUAAAGUUAAUACCUUUGCUCAUUGACGUUACCCGCAGAAGAAGCACCGGCUAACUCCGUGCCAGCAGCCGCGGUAA
rnacentral:rRNA from 1 species